CCAUUAUAGUUGAAGAAAUAGAAAAAAUGUUGGAGCACAAACAGAACGGAGGCUCCAUGGCAAUGGAUGCAGGAGUAUACCAUCCCUGGCUCCCUGGCAAUAAAUAUUAGAAAUACCUUCCAUGGUUGUGGCUUCCAAAAACAUCUUCACAUAUCCCCAAACACUUCCUGGAGAAUGGUAACGUCCUGGUUGAGAACUGUUCCAUGAACCACUGACAAGCAAGUUGCAGACUGUUUCAUUUUGAAGUACAGGUAUCUUGAAGCUGGCUUCACUGCUUACAGCAUUGUCUCUGUGUCCAGGGGAGGUUUGCAGAGAAUUUCUCCAUCAGAGAAAAAAAAGUUCAAGUUCGAAUUAUGGUAAAACUAUAAAAAAACAAACUGGAACCUCAAACUUCAACCUAGAUAGAUGACCCUUCCUUUUUCGGUAUUAUGUUUUGACGUUUAAUGAAUUAUUUCAAACAUUUUAGAAAUGUUAGAUUUUACUUUCUAAAUUUUGUAGAUUUCAAAUUUCUUUAAUGUGGUUUAAAAAAUACUCUUCCAUUGUAUUCUGGGAAAGACAGACACAGAAAAUAUUAAUAAAUUAGGGUUGUCUAAAAUGGGAGAAAUUAGAACCCCUACAAUGUAGCAAGCAUUGUAUUAGAUGCUUUGUAUAAAUUUUUUCUUUGUAUCCACAUACCAGCCCUGCGUGGCGGAUGCUAUUAUCACCAUUUUACACAUGAGAAAACUAAGCCAAACGAAGUUUAGGAAACGCUAUAAAGUAUUAGUAAGCUCUAUGUCACUUUUAGAAUGCAUGGGUUUAAAAGUUAAAGUGUUUCUAACUUUGACACCAAUAAAAAUAUUUAUUUUGACACUAAUUAAAAUGUAAAUACAUAUUCUCCUAUCACAUUCUCAUGGCAUCCAAAGAUAGCCCCUUCACUGAAAUUAGAUUUGCUUCGGUUAUUUUUAAUGAUUGCUCAAAAAAGUGUGAAAGAGAAAUUAUAUCUGUUGACUAUUCUAGGGCUUUUCAGGAGACUUAGACUAUUGCUGUAUGUCCUGUGAGUUAAAGAUAGAACACAAUGUACUAUUCUGGCCCAGAUGUAGAUACACCCAGAAUAUCACAUGGACUCUAGAUGUUUGGUAGAAAAACCAAAAAAGGAACAGACUGCAUCUAUAUGUGGCAAGAGUGUAAACACGGUAAAAAGGAAGGGUAAAUGAUGGACAGCCACUUGCUUGUCACUGCCUGCUCUCCCUCCUCCUUCCCUCCUUUUUUCUUCCCUUCUGUCAAUCAUUCAAGGAAUAUUUACUGAGCACCUAGUUAAUAUCAGGCUUUGUGGUAGUGUCAGUUUGCCCUCUCCCACAAAAGGUUUCCUACUCAGAUCAUUUUCUCAAAUAAUCUUUGUCUUCUCUCUGCUCUGGGAGCAUGACCUUAGUUUUUCUGAUCUUCUCUCUCUGGUCUAUCACAAGUUCUGUGCUCCAUAAGUACUUUAUUGUUAGUUUUAUUUUCAUUAGUCUGAUUUUGAGAACUGCAAAGAGAAUCGCUGACUUUCUGCUUAUCCUCCGCUACCUCCCUUAAGACCUUCCUCUGAGUUAGAAUGUUAAGUCUUGGGAAAUGGGCUCGGGUGCCCUUUCUCCCUGCUUUUGUGAUACUCUGUGGCUGGAAAUGGGGCUCUAGAAUUAAGUGAAUAUGUGAUUUUUCCCUUAGUCAGCUAGUACCUCUACAUUUUGAUUUGCUAAGAAAAUGGUCAUAGGUUGGGCGUUUGAUUUUAUGGCUUUUAGGAAGCAAAAAAAAUCAGCGACCUUGCUUGAGAUCAAGAUAUAACUUGCUUUUAAUGGCCUUCUGCAGAAUGAUCCUUCUUUCUUUGUGUCUGGCAGAUACUCAUCACUGUCACUGUCACAGCUGUGUUCAUCUUUUCAUUUCACUGGGCAAGGUUUUUUGUUUUUUUUUUCUUGUUAAUUUUGUUGUUUGGGGUGUCUUGUGAGAGACUGCCACAUAAAAGUGUUUUACGCUGCCAUUCCUUUGAAAAACACCGAUUAGGCAGAUUAAAUAGAUGUAGAGUUAUUUAUUGCACUUAAAUGUUACCCAAGGUAACUGUUCCGCUGCCUAUUUACACACAGUAGAAUAAACCUAAUGACUUAAAUACCAGUGUAUUAAUGAAGCCCUGCUGAGCUGCAUACAGCUAUAAGAAUUAUAAGUCUCAACCUAAGAAUGUUAAGGGUUCAGCUAAUAUAUUGUCUGCCCUGAAUUUAAUAGGCGUAAACUGAAGAAUAUAAAAAAAAAGUUAUUUAAACUAAAAAUAAAAAUGUGUGCAAAACAAUUCAUUACAUAUUUCUUAAAGGUUAUUAGCCUUUCAGUGAUUAAUUCUGGCAAUUAUUUUUAACUUUGUGAACAUCAACUUCAUAAAAACAGCUGCACUAUACAUUGGAAUUGCAAUGCAUGUAACAUCUCCACUUAGCUGGUGUUUGUAGCUGGUGUUUGAAAGUUUCUUUUGUAUGUGUCCUGUGAUACUGUGUAAUUUAUUUAUUCCUAGAGACUUUUAAAUUGACUUCUGAAGAUUGUUUCCUGUAUUUAUUGUGUCUCCUUUGAUUUAAACAAAUAAUUGUCAAUUGUAUAACUCACCAAUUGCCACAAAUUAUUUUGAGGGCCAGAUAUAUACACAUACGGA
rnacentral:lncRNA from 1 species